rnacentral:lncRNA from 1 species
UGUUGUUCCGGUUUUGGUUCUUGUGAACGUUGACAUAGAUUCAUUCCAAAUUUACACUCUCGGGGCAUAAUAGAACAAUAUAAUUAGGUUUUACUCUUUACUCGAUAGAAGGAGAAAAAGUACUCGUCGCAAAGUUAUACUGUUAGGGCGCAACUUAGUAUUCUAAUAUUGUUCUGGUUUUUAUUCUUGUGAACGUUGAUAUCGAUUCGUUCCAAAUUUACACUCUCGGGGCAUAAUCGAACAAUAUAAUUAGGUUUUUCUCUCUAUUCGAUUGAAUGAGAAAAAAUCCUCGUUGCAAAGUUAUACUGUUAGGGCGUAACUAAGUAUUCUAAUGUUGUUCGAUUUUGGUUCUUGUGAACGUUGACACAGAUUCAUUCCAAAUUUACACUCUCGCGGCAUAAUAGAACAAUAUAACUAGGUUUUACUCUUUGCUCGAUAGAAUGAGAAAAAGUACUCGUCGCAAGUUAUACUGUUAGGGCACAACAGAGUAGUCUAAUGUUGUUCUGGUUUUCGUUCUUGUGAACGUUGACAUCGAUUCGUUUCAAAUUUACACUCCUGGGGCUUAAUAGAACGAUAUAAUUAGGUUUUACUCUUUGUUCGAUAGAAUGAGAAAAAGUACUCGUCGCAAGUUAUACUGUUAGGGCACAACAGAGUAGUCUAAUGUUGUUCUGGUUUUCGUUCUUGUGAACGUUGACAUCGAUUCGUUUCAAAUUUACACUCCUGGGGCUUAAUAGAACGAUAUAAUUAGGUUUUACUCUUUGUUCGAUAGAAUGAGAAAAAGUACUCGUCGCAAGUUAUACUGUUAGGGCACAACAGAGUAGUCUAAUGUUGUUCUGGUUUUCGUUCUUGUGAACGUUGACAUCGAUUCGUUUCAAAUUUACACUCCUGGGGCUUAAUAGAACGAUAUAAUUAGGUUUUACUCUUUGUUCGAUAGAAUGAGAAAAAGUACUCGUCGCAAGUUAUACUGUUAGGGCACAACAGAGUAGUCUAAUGUUGUUCUGGUUUUCGUUCUUGUGAACGUUGACAUCGAUUCGUUUCAAAUUUACACUCCUGGGGCUUAAUAGAACGAUAUAAUUAGGUUUUACUCUUUGUUCGAUAGAAUGAGAAAAAGUACUCGUUACAAAAUUAUACUGUUAGGGCGCAACUGAGUAGUCUAAUGUUCUUCCGAUUUUUGUUCUUCUGAACGUUGACAUCGAUUCGUUCCAAAUUUACACUCUCGAGGUGUAAUAAAAUAAUAUAAUUAGGUUUUAGUCUUUGUUCGAUAGAAUGAGAAAAAGUACUCGUUGCAAAGUUAUACUGUUAGGGCGCAACUGAGUAGUCUAAUGUUGUUCCGGUUUUGGUUCUUGUGAACGUUGACAUCGAUUCGUUCCAAAUUUACACUCUCGAGGUGUAAUAAAAUAAUAUAAUUAGGUUUUAGUCUUUGUUCGAUAGAAUGAGAAAAAGUACUCGUUGCAAAUUUAUACUGUUAGGGCGCAACUGAGUUUUCUAAUGUUGUUCCGGUUUUGGUUCAUG